AGAUUGCGAAGAACUUCAACAGGACCGGAAUAUUUUAAAAAGCGAGAAGAAUAAACUGGGAAAAGAAAAGGAGGAUCUUCAGAAGAAUUAUGGCAAGAUUAAUACAUUCAUCUCAAUAUUAUUUUUAUUAAACUAUUGUAUUGAAUCACAUGAGUUCAUGAGCUAAAAUACAAACUAAACUUUUCACUCUUUUCUGUUUUAGACAUU